rnacentral:rRNA from 1 species
UACGUAGGGGGCUAGCGUUGUCCGGAAUUAUUGGGCGUAAAGGGCUCGUAGGCGGUUUGUCGCGUCGGGAGUGAAAAUCCAGGGCUUAACUCUGGACUGGCUUCCGAUACGGGCAGACUAGAGGUAUGCAGGGGAGAACGGAAUUCCUGGUGUAGCGGUAGAAAUGCGCAGAUAUCAGGAGGAACACCGGUGGCGAAGGCGGUUCUCUGGGCAUUACCUGACGCUGAGGAGCGAAAGUGUGGGGAGCGAACAGG